UACGUAGGCAGCAAGCGUUGUUCGGAAUUACUGGGCGUAAAGAGUGUGUAGGCGGUGUUCUAAGUCUGUUGUGAAAUCUCCCGGCUUAACUGGGAGGGUGCGGCGGAAACUGGAAUGCUAGAGGAUGGGAGAGGUAAGCGGAAUUCCUGGUGUAGCGGUGAAAUGCGUAGAUAUCAGGAGGAACACCUGUGGCGAAAGCGGCUCACUGGACCACAACUGACGCUGAGGCGCGAAAGCUAGGGGAGCAAACAGG
rnacentral:rRNA from 1 species